ACGGGUGAGUAAUGUCUGGGAAACUGCCUGAUGGAGGGGGAUAACUACUGGAAACGGUAGCUAAUACCGCAUAACGUCGCAAGACCAAAGAGGGGGACCUUCGGGCCUCUUGCCAUCAGAUGUGCCCAGAUGGGAUUAGCUAGUAGGUGGGGUAACGGCUCACCUAGGCGACGAUCCCUAGCUGGUCUGAGAGGAUGACCAGCCACACUGGAACUGAGACACGGUCCAGACUCCUACGGGAGGCAGCAGUGGGGAAUAUUGCACAAUGGGCGCAAGCCUGAUGCAGCCAUGCCGCGUGUAUGAAGAAGGCCUUCGGGUUGUAAAGUACUUUCAGCGAGGAGGAAGGCAUUGAGGUUAAUAACCUCAGUGAUUGACGUUACUCGCAGAAGAAGCACCGGCUAACUCCGUGCCAGCAGCCGCGGUAAUACGGAGGGUGCAAGCGUUAAUCGGAAUUACUGGGCGUAAAGCGCACGCAGGCGGUCUGUCAAGUCGGAUGUGAAAUCCCCGGGCUCAACCUGGGAACUGCAUUCGAAACUGGCAGGCUAGAGUCUUGUAGAGGGGGGUAGAAUUCCAGGUGUAGC
rnacentral:rRNA from 1 species